rnacentral:rRNA from 1 species
GGCCGCGGUAAUACGAAGGGGGCUAGCGUUGUUCGGAUUUACUGGGCGUAAAGCGCACGUAGGCGGAUCGUUAAGUUAGGGGUGAAAUCCUGGAGCUCAACUCCAGAACUGCCCUUAAUACUGGCGAUCUCGAGUCCGGAAGAGGUGAGUGGAACUCCUAGUGUAGAGGUGGAAUUCGUAGAUAUUAGGAAGAACACCAGUGGCGAAGGCGGCUCACUGGUCCGGUACUGACGCUGAUGUGCGAAAGCGUGGGGAGCAAACA